rnacentral:rRNA from 1 species
AGUGAACGCUGGCGGUAGGCCUAACACAUGCAAGUCGAACGGCAGCACAGUAAGAGCUUGCUCUUACGGGUGACGAUUGGCGGACGGGUGAGGAAUACAUCGGAAUCUACUUUUUCGUGGGGGAUAACGUAGGGAAACUUACGCUAAUACCGCAUACGACCUACGGGUGAAAGCAGGGGAUCUUCGGACCUUGCGCGAUUGAAUGAGCCGAUGUCGGAUUAGCUAGUUGGCGGGGUAAAGGCCCACCAAGGCGACGAUCCGUAGCUGGUCUGAGAGGAUGAUCAGCCACACUGGAACUGAGACACGGUCCAGACUCCUACGGGAGGCAGCAGUGGGGAAUAUUGGACAAUGGGCGCAAGCCUGAUCCAUCCAUACCGCGUGUGUGAAGAAGGCCUUCGGGUUGUAAAGCCGUUUUGUUGGGAAAGAAAAGCAGCAGGUUAAUACCCCGCUGUUCUGACGGUACCCAAAGAAUAAGCACCGGCUAACUUCGUG